ensembl:lncRNA
AGUCACUGUACCAUCAGAAUGAUUUUGAAACUGAUAUUUCAACAUAAAAAAAUGACACAGAGAAGCUUUAAUGUUCAAAUUUGUGUUUUUACAAAGAGUGGAACAAAAACAAAACAAAAAGAGUCAUUUUCACUCAGCAGAGUCUCCAUCUGAUCGUGCUGAGACUCAAUGACCCAACAGAAGAAGCCAAAGCCCUGCUAGGUGAAAUAUGUCAUGAGUUGUGUAAAUAUAUCUCUCAAUAUCAGAGAAAGAGACCAUAUGUUGCGCUGUGAGCGGAGGCUUACAGCAAAGCUGCCUUAUCCACAGCAUUACAGACUCUAAGAAAGGAUUUAUUUUUAAUUCUCGAUUAGAUAGAAUGUCUCUGCUAGACGAAAGUAGAAAGAACACACACACACACAAUCACAUUAGUGUGAUCAUCAUCAGCCUCUGAUCACACACACAGCACACAGAGAGAGAGAGCAGGAGAAACGCGCUUUCCACCUUCAGACGCAUCUCUGAGGCGUGCACACAGCGUCAGGAGGCGAUGCUGCUCCCUCUCUGACAGACCCUGGAGUUGCACUGGAUCUCAGAUGCGCUUGGAGCCUGAGCGGACAGACACUGAUGACUUCACACGCGCUGCUGCUCUACGGGCUCGGGUUCACUUUAGCAUCGGCACUGCUUUCCACACAGGUCGACGGACUGCAGUGUUACGGCUGUAACGUCUUCCACGGGCAGAAGUAUGUGGACGUGGGCUGCACUAAUCCAGAGGUCAUCACGUGCACGCACUCGCACAAGGGCUUCAAGCAUCGCUUCUGCAUCAGGACCGAGAGCACGGCACUGGGCAUCGUCCUCACUAGUGGCUGUGCCACCUCACGCCACUGCCAGCAGCAAGAACUGCCUGGAGUCUCCAUCCACUGCUGUGACUCGGACCUGUGCAACAGCGCCACCCACCAGCCAGCACAUUCACUGCAACAUGCACUGCUGCUGCUACUGCUGGCACGGAUGUGCUUAUGAUUCACUGCAUGAUGACCUCUGAGAAAGAGAAAGUGGACAGAAUGUUGGGCAGCCAGAUACUCCACACAGCUUCCUCUGUAAAACACCCUUUAUGUGUGUUCAUUGUGAUUAUGUGAACAGUUGUUCUAUCAGAUAAUAGGUUCUGUUCUGCUGGUUAGCACUGAACUUAACAGUCCUGUUCUGCAUGUACAUACGUACUAAUUAUAGUAAUUACAAUAACUGGUAAUCACUAGGUACUAUUACUGAACUGAACCCACUGAUUUAAAUGAAGAUCAUCUUCAUGUUAAAGGUCACAGUUCAUUUUCAUCGAAAAAAUGAAAAUGUUCUGUUAAUCUACUCAUCCUCAGGCCAUCCAAGAUGUAGAUGACAUUUGUUCUUCAGUAGAACAGUAAAGACCAUUUUAAGCUGAAACUGUGGGCCUUGGUGAUUAAUAAAAUAGAAUAGAAUCCUUUAAUAAAUGAACUC